ACAAAGUAAACCUUUAACCAUGACUUAGUUAAUGAACUCCCCCCCAUAAAUUUUAUGCAAAUAAUUUCAAUUUCGUAAAUCUAUAUUAGACUCCAAUUUGUCCAAAUACACAAACAGAGCUUUAAAACUCUAUCAAUGAACUUCUAACCACAUAUUACACCAUCAGAUUUUCAUUUGUUAAAUUUAGAACCAUGCCAUUUGAAUUAAUGAGACUCAUUUAAUAGAUUCUCUACACACUCCCUUUAGCCUUGUUUCUUCUCUCAUAGACUUUCUUGAUAGGGGUGCAUCCUAACAUAGUAACAUUGGAUUAUGUCAUGUUAAGUUCACACAUAGAGAAUGUUGUUUUUUGUAAUUUGAAAAUUACGACGGAGUUUUGAAACUAUUAUCGGGGUGAGUCACGAUCAGGUCGCUUUCUUUAAGACGUUUCGCGGCACUACCUAAGUUGUGCAACGUAGAUUAGCAACCGCGCCGUCUCCAGGAUAAAACAGCCCAGAUUCUUACUGUACGAUUAAAGGCUGCACUGCCAGAAAUCGCUCGAGAAUAACACCUCAGUAUGGUUUCGAAAAGUUUCGAAAAACCACUCUAAUAUGGCACGCAGACCACUCGAGAAACCAAAGAGGGAGGAAGAAAAGAACGGUUCGUCAACACAAACCGAGGGAGAUGAGAAGGGGAGAAAACCAGAGAAGAGGAUUCGAUUCUCGGUUUUGGAGUGAAGAAUCCCAUUCCCGAGCUCUCUAUUUAUAGAGGGGAAUUUUCCUCGUUUUCUCCGCCGACCCGGUUCGCGACCCGCCAAACCCAGCCCGCCCGGUCGGACGGACGGCGUCGUCGCCGCGCGCGCAUGUGGCUUAUAUAAUUUUUGGCUAGUGCUCACUCCGUUCACAAAAGUGGGUACCCCAAGGGCACACCCUUGGAAGUGAUUUCCCACAUAUAUAAACACUACUAGAGUGUGUUAUCUACCCAAUGUGGGACAUAAAAUUUUCAAUUCACACUUUACACUAGUUUCUACAUCAUUGUGUUUACAUUCCAAUGUCUCCUCAUAACAACUAGUAUACUCCAAGUUUUUGCCAAUAUACACUAGUGUUCCAACAGAGAAGCAAAAGGAUAUAAUGAAUUGUCCAGGAAAAUAUGAAAUCUAUAAUUUCAAAAGAGCUCCCAUAUCUUUAUGUGUAUAUGCAACAACUUUG
rnacentral:lncRNA from 1 species